GGCACAAUUUUUUUUAUAAGCAUAAAUUUUAUUGAUAACAAUUAUCGAAGAAAAACUUAACAUAUAUCAUUAGCCUACUAUCAGGUCAUCAGACCUCCCCAAAACACCAACCUAGGACGAAACGUGCUAAGUAGGAAAACCUGAAGAGAUGCACAAUACAAGAACAAUUACUGCACAAAAUUAAAAGAAGCAAAGGACUCAAGCACAUAUGACAUGCAAUACAGCAGCAGGACACACAGUAAUCAAACACACAAAGUCAAUAAUCUAAACCCAUUCGCACACAACCAAAACUAAGACCAAAGCUCCUUACUUACAUAAUCUAAUUAAUGACGAAGCACACUUAUAAAUUACAUUAAUACAUGUCCACAAUUGCAACUGCAUUAAUUGAUAAGAGCAUAAAAACAACAUGCAUGAAAAAUUAAAUCACACUCAAAUGUUACUACCAGCAAACGCAAUUUACACGGCGUCUUUGACGGCGCUUUGGGACAACAUCGAAGUAACCAAUGACAUAGAAAACCAACACUGUCGACAAAAAUCCAAAAGGAAAUCCAAUUCCGGCCAUAACCCACGAAAACCAUGUCUCUUGACUUCUACUUUCCUCCGGCUCUGGGAUCACCUUAUCACAUGGCACUUGAAUUUGCAUCCCACACAAUCCACUGUUAUUAGCAUAAGA
rnacentral:misc_RNA from 1 species